UACAGAGGGUGCAAGCGUUGUUCGGAAUUACUGGGCGUAAAGCGCGUGUAGGCUGCGGAGUAAGUCGGAUGUGAAAUCCCUUGGCUUAACCAAGGAAGUGCAUCCGAUACUGUUUCGCUUGAGUGUCGGAGGGGAUGGCGGAAUUCCCGGUGUAGAGGUGAAAUUCGUAGAUAUCGGGAGGAACACCUGUGGCGAAGGCGGCCAUCUGGACGACAACUGACGCUGAGACGCGAAAGCGUGGGUAGCGAACAGG
rnacentral:rRNA from 1 species